AUACAGGAUGGUCACUGGUCCCAGAGAAAGACCAUACCAAGUUUGAGUCUCUUGACUUUUAGUUCAGUUAGAAUUCUACCCUAAUAAUACAACAUAUUUUCUGUUUUCUCAGAUGCUGUAAGAUCCAGUAAACCCUUGGAGAAGACACAAGGUGUGUGCCCUACCAUGUCAGCAUUCGACGAUCAAAACCAAGCCCCUGAUCCAAGAGAUCAGAAUAAGGUUAAUAGAUAUAUGAGCCAAUAUCUGAAUUUUGAUGAAGAAGGACUGGAGUCAGAAGAAUAUGUAUCCUUAGUCCCAGAAAACUUGAUACCAUUUGCAUUGGAAACAGAAGUGCAAGACCUCACAGUGAUAGAGGAAGGCGAGGAUACUAUCCGUUUCCACACUGAGCAAAUAGAGUAUGAUGAAGAAUACCUUGUAGAGUCCAUGGAAGAAGACUAUGGAUGCAUGCACAGUGAGGAUGAGAAGGACAAUGAUGAUGAAGAUACUGAUGAGGGUACUGAAUACUUUGCAGGCACUGUGAAUGACCAUAACUAUGAACACACCUGUGUUGCUCCCAAUAAAGUUGAAAGUGAGGAGAAAGCUGAGACUGGGAAGGAAAAUCAGAAGGAGGAAGAUGACAGCAAUCCAAACUCAGCUGAAAACAUAGACUAGGAUCCAGUCUGAAGGCGUCAAGAUGAAACACACAAGGAUGUUAACAACACUGAUUUGGUUUACAUUUCAUCACCCUUAAAAGUCCUAUAUAUAUAUUUUUUAAAGGCCUAUAACCCCAAAAAUUGUGUUCAGUAAAGCAUUGUUGAAAGUC